rnacentral:rRNA from 1 species
GAUGAACGCUGGCGGCGUGCCUAAUACAUGCAAGUCGAGCGAACAGACGAGGAGCUUGCUCCUCUGACGUUAGCGGCGGACGGGUGAGUAACACGUGGAUAACCUACCUAUAAGACUGGGAUAACUUCGGGAAACCGGAGCUAAUACCGGAUAAUAUAUUGAACCGGAUGGUUCAAUAGUGAAAGACGGUUUUGCUGUCACUUAUAGAUGGAUCCGCGCCGCAUUAGCUAGUUGGUAAGGUAACGGCUUACCAAGGCGACGAUGCGUAGCCGACCUGAGAGGGUGAUCGGCCACACUGGAACUGAGACACGGUCCAGACUCCUACGGGAGGCAGCAGUAGGGAAUCUUCCGCAAUGGGCGAAAGCCUGACGGAGCAACGCCGCGUGAGUGAUGAAGGUCUUCGGAUCGUAAAACUCUGUUAUUAGGGAAGAACAAAUGUGUAAGUAACUAUGCACGUCUUGACGGUACCUAAUCAGAAAGCCACGGCUAACUACGUG